CGCUUGGGAGACGGAGGGGAACAUCAGAAGUUCAAGAGGUGUGGCACAGAGAUAAGGCGUGGAACUCUGGGAGAAGGCAUCUCUGUCCAUAAAACAGCUUUGGAGAGAGGGUCAGCAAUGAGCAGAUCUGGAGGAGCAGAGGCUGCCAUCGAGAAGCCGAGGAACUAGCUCCUACCUCACCGAGCAGGUGCCUGUGACCCACAGGGAGGAAGGAGAAGCUGCGGGCCGCGCCCUGAGACCUGAGCAGACUGCGUCGGUCAGCAUGGUCCUUCACCUGCAGGCAGUCGCCUUAGGCCUCCUGCUGCUGCAGACAGGUGCUGUGUUUUCCACCCAAGUGAGCGCCGUGGUGGGGCAGCUGGUCACGCUGCCCUGCACCUACUCGGUGUCUGGAGGGGCCGUCACAUCCAUGUGCUGGGGCCGAGGGCCCUGUCCCAGGAACCAGUGCUCCGAUACACUUAUCUGGACCGAUGGACACCAGGUCACCUCCAGGAAAGAUGGGCGUUAUCGGCUACACGGGCAGAUUAAGCAGGGAGACGUGUCCUUGACCAUCAGGAACGUAACCGUGGGUGACAGUGGCCAGUACUGCUGCCGUAUUGAGGUCCCGGGAUGGUUCAACGAUAUCAAAAGAACCAUCACCCUCAGCGUUGUGCCAGCCACCACCACAAGAGCUCCAACAACAUCUGCUGCUCCUCCAUCACCAGCACAUACACAGAGCCACAAAACAGCUCCAGCCAGGACCACAUCUGCUCCACCAACACCUCAUGUCCCUACUACGCCUGCAAGACCAGCACAGACACAGAGCCACAAAACAGGCAGGACCACUACUGUUCCAACAGCACCUCAUGUCUCUACUGCUACUGCAAGACCAGCACAGACACAGAGCCACAAAACAGCCACGAUCAGAAGAGCUCCAACAACAUCCCAUGUCUCUACCUCUCCUCUGACACCAGCACAUACACAGAGCCACAAAACAGCUCCAGCCAGGACCACAUCUGCUCCACCAACACCUCAUGUCCCUACUACGCCUGCAAGACCAGCACAGACACAGAGCCACAAAACAGGCAGGACCACUACUGUUCCAACAGCACCUCAUGUCUCUACUGCUACUGCAAGAUCAGCACAGACACAGAGCCACAAAACAGACACUGUUCCACCUGUUCCAACUCAGACAGGAGAGACCCAGCCUACAAUACUUCAGGAAACAAAGCCUCAGUCCCCCACCUCCUCCCCAGACUCUUGCCCAACAGAUGGGAAUACCGUGGUGACACAGACCUCAGACGGCCCUCGGCAUAACAAUCAAACUCAGGUGUUUGAAGCACAAAACACAUGGAUGAACAGUGACAGACUCUAUAUUGGAAUCCUUAUUUGUAGCUUGGUUUUGCUCAUGGUUUUGGUCACCAUCGUUAUCAAAAAGUAUUUCAUCAGCAAAAUGAGGACCUGGACACUAAAUGUACUGGGUGGUGACUUGGUCUUCCUCUGUGCCCGUCUAAAGACUCAAGGUCUACAUUUCCAUGGUGGCAACAGUCGCUGUUACACCAAGUACAAAACACCAGCCACAUGCAAACCCAGGCGUGCGUUAAGGCUGGGUCUGCUGUUUUCCUGAUGGGACCUUUUGGCUUCUGUGCAGCUCAGUCGGGGUUCACAGGGUGGACUCCAGACAAGGCGUGGCAGUGUGAACUCUCCAAGCCGUCUCACCAAGCGCCCCCUAACGGAUGUGAGAAGCAAGCACAGGGAGCACCAUAGUUCUUUCCAGAAAGUUAAUCCUUCACCUUUGGUGUUGCUUAUUAAUUGAGUUUCUGGGAACUCGUCCUCAAAUUCAAGCUUUGCAACUGCGAAGUCCAG